CCCUAGCCCCGAUAGCAGUGGAAAUCCUUUUGUGGCGGGGUUCACCACAAAAGAUUGCAACGGAUAGCGGGAUUAGCU
rnacentral:sRNA from 1 species